rnacentral:rRNA from 1 species
CGAAUUCGCCCUAGAGGUUGAUUCCUUGAUGGGGAUGAACGCUGGCGGCGUGCCUAACACAUGCACUUCGAACGGAGUGUUGAGAGCUUGCUUUUAACACUUAGUGGCGGACGGGUGAGUAAUGUAUGAGCAACCUGCCUUUCAGAGGGGGACAACAGUUGGAAACGACUGCUAAUACCGCAUAAUGUGCGUUGAAGGCAUCUUCAAUGUACCAAAGGAGCAAUCCGCUGAAAGAUGGGCUCAUAUCUGAUUAGCUAGUUGGUGAGGUAACGGCUCACCAAGGCUGCGAUCAGUAGCCGGACUGAGAGGUUGAACGGCCACAUUGGGACUGAGAUACGGCCCAGACUCCUACGGGAGGCAGCAGUGGGGAAUAUUGGGCAAUGGGCGAAAGCCUGACCCAGCAACGCCGCGUGAAGGAAGAAGGUCUUCGGAUUGUAAACUUCUUUUAUGAGGGACGAAGGACGUGACGGUACCUCAUGAAUAAGCCACGGCUAACUACGUGCCAGCAGCCGCGGUAAUACGUAGGUGGCAAGCGUUAUCCGGAAUUAUUGGGCGUAAAGAGCAUGUAGGCGGUUUUUUAAGUCUGGAGUGAAAAUGCGGGGCUCAACCCCGUAUGGCUCUGGAUACUGGAAGACUUGAGUGCAGGAGAGGAAAGGGGAAUUCCCAGUGUAGCGGUGAAAUGCGUAGAUAUUGGGAGGAACACCAGUGGCGAAGGCGCCUUUCUGGACUGUGUCUGACGCUGAGAUGCGAAAGCCAGGGUAGCGAACGGGAUUAGAUACCCCGGUAGUCCUGGCCGUAAACGAUGGGUACUAGGUGUAGGAGGUAUCGACCCCUUCUGUGCCGGAGUUAACGCAAUAAGUACCCCGCCUGGGGAGUACGUCCGCAAGGAUGAAACUCAAAGGAAUUGACGGGGGCCCGCACAAGCGGUGGAGUAUGUGGUUUAAUUCGACGCAACGCGAAGAACCUUACCAAGGCUUGACAUUGAAUGACCGCUUCAGAGAUGGAGCUUUCCCUUCGGGGACAUGAAAACAGGUGGUGCAUGGCUGUCGUCAGCUCGUGUCGUGAGAUGUUGGGUUAAGUCCCGCAACGAGCGCAACCCCUAUCCUAUGUUACCAGCGGGUAAUGCCGGGGACUCAUAGGAGACUGCCAAGGACAACUUGGAGGAAGGCGGGGAUGACGUCAAGUCAUCAUGCCCCUUAUGUCUUGGGCUACACACGUACUACAAUGGUCGGCAACAGAGGGAAGCGAAGCCGUGAGGCAGAGCAAACCCCAGAAACCCGAUCUCAGUUCGGAUUGCAGGCUGCAACUCGACUACACGAAGCUGGAAUAGCUAGUAAUCGCGAAUCAGAAUGUCGCGGUGAAU